UUUUGUGAGGUUUUGUUCUCCAGUCCUGGAAUAGGGACUGCACUCUGGGUGAGGUUUUGUUCUCCAGUCCUGGAAUAGGGACUGCACUCUGGGUGAGGUUUUGUUCUCCAGUCCUGGAAUAGGGACUGCACUCUGGGUGAGGUUUUGUUCUCCAGUCCUGGAAUAGGGACUGCACUCUGGGUGAGGUUUUGUUCUCCAGUCCUGGAAUAGGGACUGCACUCUGGGUGAGGUUUUGUUCUCCAGUCCUGGAAUAGGGACUGCACUCUGGGUGAGGUUUUGUUCUCCAGUCCUGGAAUAGGGACUGCACUCUGGGUGAGGUUUUGUUCUCCAGUCCUGGAAUAGGGACUGCACUCUGGGUGAGGUUUUGUUCUCCAGUCCUGGAAUAGGGACUGCACUCUGGGUGAGGUUUUGUUCUCCAGUCCUGGAAUAGGGACUGCACUCUGGGUGAGGUUUUGUUCUCCAGUCCUGGAAUAGGGACUGCACUCUGGGUGAGGUUUUGUUCUCCAGUCCUGGAAUAGGGACUGCACUCUGGGUGAGGUUUUGUUCUCCAGUCCUGGAAUAGGGACUGCACUCUGGGUGAGGUUUUGUUCUCCAGUCCUGGAAUAGGGACUGCACUCUGGGUGAGGUUUUGUUCUCCAGUCCUGGAAUAGGGACUGCACUCUGGGUGAGGUUUUGCUGUACAGACGUUUGUGUAUGAUCUUUGUGUCGCUGUAUAUUAUCUGAACUUUUGCGAUCCAGAGAGGGGCCACGUGCCAAUUUUAUUCAAAAGAUCUCGACGAUGCACUUCAAGUAUGACACCUGAUUCAAAGCUAUGGGUUUUAUUGUCUUACCAAAUUUGACCAAUGGAAAGUUGUGAGCCUCAAUACCGAUGGGUUAGAAUUUAUUUUCUCUGUUUUGAGUCAUUUUUGUUUCGCGCACACACAAAACAAAUUCAACCAGUCCGUUGUUCAACUGCUCAGUGUAUUUGUGGUUAUUGAUACAUAAAACAGACUUCAAAACCUUCAGCCAGCAGUACAUGCAAAUUUGUCAAAAUAUAUGAAAGAAAACAUACAAAAACUGCUGUCUACUACAACUAAGACUUUUUGGUAUACUUUUCUAUCACAGACAUUUAUCUAGGUUUCUUGCUUCACUGCGAUUGCUGAGGCUGCAGGGAGGUUAUGAGGGUGGGUGCUUCACAGACACUCUGGGGCCAUGACAUUUCGCAAGGUCAGGUCAGAGGUCAGUCUGUGGCAGCCACGUAACACAUAGGUCUAUGUAAUGACACCCUGUGUCUGUACAGUAUACCUGUCUUUGAACACACUGCCGAACACGUUCCCUAUGACACCUCAACUUUAAACAGAGCCUCUAGAAUUAUUAUUAUUUUUUUUUGGAGGGGGGGGGUUCUUAAGCGACUGCAGCCAAUGGAAAAAGCGAGAUGACCCUGUAGUUCUUACCUUGAGGUUCAGUCUGGAUAUGUGUGAUUGCAGUGUACAACAGACACUUUGAAGAAAGGAUAUUGCAAGGCUGUAGUCUUGAUCUGAGACUGCCGUAACUUGUGGUCAGAGAGGGGACAAAGUACACAGACAAACAUGUGGCCUUCAACAGGCUAAAGACCGUCACCAGUAGGGACCUGAUACUUUCUCUCUUUCCAUCUUUCUCUUCCUCUCUUCCUCUCAGUUUCUCUGGGAGAAUCUCAAUUGCAUACCCCUCGAGUCCUCUCCUCAAAACCUAUUGGAGGAAAAGGUCAGAGGGGAAGGACCUCUGGCUUUCCCAUCCAAUGGGUUUUGAGAAGGAGAGAGGAAGCGAGUAGUAUGCAAUUGAGAUUCUCCCUCUAUCUCAGAUGCAGUCACUGUUACAAGGACAUGACGAACAGUAUUCAGGAUCAAUUUCCACAAAGCACAGGGACAAACACAAGGUAGUCAAACACAGGCAGGCAGUAGGCAAGCUCUGGGCAAAAGACUCUUACACACACACAAAACCUCUGAAUAUAUAUAUACUGUGAUUUCCUCUCACACCACCCACACUGUCAUCACACCUACCACCACCACCAACCAACUAACCCCAACCCAAACUCCACCCCCUUCCUCCUGAACCUGUACCUUCGUCCUAUCCCCUUCUCGCCCUAGCAUCUGAACCCUCCCUCUCCAAUAAGAGUCCAGUGGGUGGUGUGAUGUCAGGUUUUUGUGGUGGGCUGCUUAUGACCGGUCCAGACAAUCAGCGUGUUUGUAAUUGUCAGUGUGUGAUUUUCAAAUCUUUGUUUAUGGUCAGGAUUUUAAAGGAAGAUAUUUUUAUGGUAAUUGUCGCUGGUCUAUUUUACUAUAUAUUUAUGUAAUAAAUAUGUGACUAAAUUUAAA